CAGAGGGCGAUAUUUUUCAGCGUAGUUCGUGUAGCAUAUGGAUAUUAAACUUCUGGAUGAUAUCUGAUGUCUGUGGAACCCGACCCAUAUGCGUGUUCUUCCCAGCUCUACUCCAUCGUCUGUGUUCCCAAGGAUCUCCACGAGUGUGUCUCCAUCAUCCAGGAUUGUGAGAUUCGCUUCUGGCGUGCUGGCACCCACUGGCUGAAAAAGAAAUAAAACUGAAUAAUUAAACUAGUUUAAAUGGAUAA